AAAAAAAAAUAUUACAACCAUUGUUUAUCUGAAUAUAUAAAGUAUUCCCACUUAUGUUGUUACUCAAUACUAGUUAUUCGUAGGACACCAAUAUUCAAACCAAAAGAAAAAAAUUAGCCCUGUUUCAUAUCCUACUAAAAAAAACUAAAUUCAAACACUAUGAUUCUUUUUAAAAAUAUGAGUUUUCAAAUAGUGAUUUUAAGAUCUAAAAUCUUGUUUGGUAUUGAACUCCAAACUAUUUUUUAGAUCUAAAAAAAUUGAAAUUAAAAUCAGAAAAUUAAGAACCCUAGAUUGCCAAAUUGAAAUUAACAAAGAAAAGUUGAGAGAGGGAAAGAGACGGGAGAGUGAGGAGAGAUAGGGACGAGAGAGGAAGAAGAGAAAAAGAGACGGGAGAGGGCGGAGACAGAGAGAGAGAGAGAGAAAAAUAUAAAACCUUAUUUUUUUUGUUUUUAAUAAUGGGGGUGUUUUUGAGUUUUUCUCAGGUUUGAGUUUUUAAAAAUGGUCUUACCAAACGGAUUUUUGUGGCUUUGAACUUAAAAUAUGUUCUUGAGUUUAUAAAAUUGGAUCCAAGUAGGAUACCAAACAAGUCCUAAAGUACCUGAUAUUUUUCUCUGUACAAUUUUACAGCAGCUGCAUGAGCAAGGAGUAGGUUGUGUGUCACCAAAUAUGGUUCAGUACUCGAAUUUCCACCAAGGCAGGUUGGGUCAUACCAAGAAGAGCAUCGUCCUGGUGCGUGGAUCCCGAUUGUAUAACCAUCACUACUACAAAAAGUGAAAAAGACGACCAGAAAACAACGACGGUCUCAGUGAAAACCGUCGUGGUUUUUAAAACGACGACGGUUCUCAAAACACCGUCGUUUAAUACCACCUUAGACAACUAACAAGGGAGAUUCAAAUGGCUGUUCAAAAACAACGACGUACUUAAUUAAACAACCGACGUCUAUUUGAAACAGAUUUCCGCAGUGUAAAAUCAAAGCGAACAAAGAACGGCAGAAGUUAUGAAUCGACCGACGUAGAAAGUAAAGACGACGAUUUCAAUAAAAGCCGCCGUUUUUACUUAUAAAAUAACACGACGAGGUUUUCGUAUAAGACGCUGUCUAAUUACAAACAAAUCCACGGCUGUAAAAUACAAAAUAUCGCCGUAUUAAAUUAAUUUACAACGACGACAAAUAUAAAUAUAUCGACGUCAUUAUUGUAUAGUUCUACGACGUUCUCUUUAAAUCGUACUAUAAAAUCUAACGUCGUAUUUAUGCAUUUUAUACGUCGUACCUUUAAUUUAAACCGUCGUCUUAAUAAGAAUUUUUGUUAACAAUUUUUUUCUUUGAUUUUCUUAUCCUACGUCGGUAGAUAUACUUAAUGACAAGAAUUGAAAUACCCACGACGGUUUAUAUAAAAAACCGCCGACAUAAUCAGAUUUUUCUGAGAUCCCAAGGGUUACGAAAUCUUACCAGAUGGAACUCUGUUCCACAUCAUAAUCUUAACAGAUGACACAGAUUUGAAAUCAGAGAGACAAUUUUUUGGAAGUUGAUGAUGUGUGUGCGUUUGUUUAUCUAAAAAUAUUAUACCUAACGUCGUUGCAAAUUUGCAAUCAGAGAAACAAUUUCCAACGACGGUUGAGUAGUUGAAGUGCUUCCCCACAGCCACUUUUUUAUGGUCNNNNNNNNNNNNNNNNNNNNNNNNNNNNNNNNNNNNNNNNNNNNNNNNNNNNNNNNNNNNNNNNNNNNNNNNNNNNNNNNNNNNNNNNNNNNNNNNNNNNNNNNNNNNNNNNNNNNNNNNNNNNNNNNNNNNNNNNNNNNNNNNNNNNNNNNNNNNNNNNNNNNNNNNNNNNNNNNNNNNNNNNNNNNNNNNNNNNNNNNNNNNNNNNNNNNNNNNNNNNNNNNNNNNNNNNNNNNNNNNNNNNNNNNNNNNNNNNNNNNNNNNNNNNNNNNNNNNNNNNNNNNNNNNNNNNNNNNNNNNNNNNNNNNNNNNNNNNNNNNNNNNNNNNNNNNNNNNNNNNNNNNNNNNNNNNNNNNNNNNNNNNNNNNNNNNNNNNNNNNNNNNNNNNNNNNNNNNNNNCGCCAUAUUAUUUUUUUGAAAUGGUUUUAUAUGUAAGCAACUUUUCGUCUACUUGACUUACACAUUUGUUGUUUUUAUAUUCUUAUUUUAUUUAAAUCUGUCAUCCAAAAAAGAAACUUUACAUAUUGCAGAAUAUUAAUUUCCUUCGUUUUAAAUUUCCUCCGGAAAAAAAACUCUAUUUAUAACGCACUGUAAUUGAAAAAUAAACUGAAAGGUCACGGGAAAAAAAAUUCUAUUCAUAAUUUAAAAAUUAAAAUCCACGUCGGUUAUAUUAAACCUAACGACGUUAAAUGAAAUGAUUCCACGUCGAAUGAAAAAUAUUGCGUCGUUUUAGUUAAAAACGACGUAGUUAAAUGUAACCGCCGUAUUAUUUUUUUGAAAUGGUUUUAUAUGUAAGCAACUUUUCGACUUACACAUGCACUGUUUCCAAACCCGAUUAAAAAUUUCAAUCUCCCAGAGAAACCUUUUCGUCUUUUUUCCUUGUCAGAGCAUUGUCAGAGUUUCUCAUCGUCUUCCUCUCGUCUUCUUCGUCGUCUCUGAACUUAAACAUCGAUCAUCUUCCUCUUGCUUUCAUUGCACGCAAAAGGUAAGCUUUCAUUUUCACUAUUUUGGUUACUGUUUUGCAUGCUCAUACGUUUUUUGUUUGAAAAAUCUUUUUACCUUUUUUCUGGCCAAAAUCAUUUUACUUCUUUCCAAGUUUGAUAAAAUAUACAGACAAAGAGGGAAAGUUUCCAACUUUGAAGACAACUACCUCAACUAAAUAAGACGACGGUAGACCACGACGGUUCGUCAGUUGUUCUAGCGUCGUCUGAAAAUUGACAAAGUUGUUUUUAAUAUAAUAGUCUUUUUUUAUAUGCUUGUUUAAUUGCAGGUUUGAUUUCUCUGAACAAUGGUUUUUGUUUUUCCCUUAUUUGAUAAAAUAUAAAGAAAAAGAAACUAAGGUUGGUAUCUAAUAUAGACGAAAAAUAUCUUAUUGUUUUACGUCGUGUGAAUGUUAAUACCACGACGGUGUAUUACUAUUGACGUCGUAUGAACAUAAAUACCACGACGUUAUAUAAAUAAUAGUUUUACCACGACGGUGUAUUACUAUUGACGUCGUGUGAACAUAUUUACCACGACGUUAUAUAAAUAAUGGUUUUAAACAUUUAUUACGUCUGAGAUUAUUUCAUUGCGUCGUCUAAAAUCAUAUCAUACGUCGUAUUUUUUUAAUACCGUCGUUUGUGUUCUUAAUGUUUUCCUGAAAUAUUUUCACUUGCAGUUUUGUCUGUUAAAAUGGUUUCUCAUCAACAAACUAAGGAUUCUGGCUCCAAGAAGCUUGGAGUGGUAGCUCCCCAAGACAAGUCUUCGAAGGAGAUGAAGUCUUCGAAGAAGAUGAAGUUUGCUUCAUCAUCUGCUGAGACAGAACCAACCAGCCAGACAACAAUCUCUGAUGAUUCAAAGACUGGUCGAGGUAUGAGCACAAUGCCUCGUGUUGUGAAGAGAAAGCUUCAGAAACUGAGGCCAAUUGUUGAGUACAAUAAAAGGGGGAAAGGUGUUGGCCAAGCACAUAUUGAGAUGCAGUCGUAUAUUGGUGUCUUGGCACGCUCCAGGAUCCCACUUGUGGACAAGAAAUGGUCCCAAAUCCCAAAGGAUAUAAAGGAGCAGAUUUGGGAAGCAGUUGACAUGGCUUUUGUCGUAGGCCAAGGGGGCAAGACCUCUGUUUUAUCUUCUGCUGCCAAAAAAUGGAAGGAUUUCAAGUCUACACUAACGAGGCAUUAUAUCCUUCCAUACACCAAUGACAGGGAGAAAUUAAGCCAACCCCCUGAAACAUAUAAAUUUAUAGAGAAAGCACAAUGGGAUGCCUUUGUAGCUUCAAGGCUAUCCAAAGAUUUUCAGUCUGUGCAUUCUCAACAUUCACAGAUUAGGGAGAAACUCGAGUACAAUCAUCGAUUGUCUCGAAAAGGAUAUGCUGGAUUGGAGGAUCAAUUGGAGGAAACCAUGCCUGGGGUAGAAAUUGAUCGAUCUACCUUAUGGAAGAGAGCUAGACAGGACAAACAUGGUAACAUCCCUGAUCCAAAGGUGGCAGAGAAGGCAAAAUUAAUUGUAAGCCUACUCACUCUGUUUUAAAUUUUUAUUAAACUGUGAAUUAUUCUUAUUACGUCGUAUGUUAUAUUUUUCGUCGUGUGAAUGAUAUUACCACGUCGAAACGUUUUUAAAAACGUCGUUAACGGUCUAAAUAGGAAUCACUACUCUGUUUUCUGUUAUUAUAGCAUACGACGUCGGUGGUUCAUUCUCGCGUCGUGUGAAUGAUAUUACCACGUCGAAACUUUUGUAAAAACGUCGUUAACGGUCUAAAUAGGAAUCACUACUCUGUUUUCUUUAAUUAUAGCAUAAGACGUCGGUUGUUUAUUCAUUUCGUCGUUUUAAAUAAAUAACCACGUCGGUAUAACUACCGUCGUGAUAAGUUAUAAUAACGUCGUUUUAUAUGUUAUUGCGUCGUGUGAAAUUAUAUAAUACGUCGUUUGUACAUAAAUAACCGUCGUGUGUUUUUUUGUUUAUCUUUGUUUUAGGAUGAAUUGCAGAAACAAGUCUCGGAAGGCAAAGUCAGAGUAGAUGGCAGCAAUGAUGUGCUGACCAUGGCUUUGGGCCCCGAGCAUCCAGGCAGGGUGAGGGGAGUUGGUGCUGGUGUUUCCCCAAGGCAAUAUUUCAAUUUGCCCAAACCACAGAGGGUGAGCUUUGACGACCGUUUGAAGGAGAGUUUAAGAGUUCUCCUUCAAGAAGAGACUAAAAAGAUGGAGGCUAAGGCAAGGGAAGAGGCCUUAAGGAUGGAGGCUAGGACAAAACAAUUGGUAGAGGCUGAGAGGGAGCAUUUCCUGAGUCAGCUUUCCCAAUUAAUUCCCAAUUUUGAUCCAAGCAUGCUUAAACCAAGAAUUAGCCAAAGCCCCAAAAAUCCAAUGUCUGACAAAGCUAGCUGCUCUGGAGGUGAUGUGAGAUCCCUACAUUUGGAGGAUGAUACUGCCAAAAUGGGGAAACAUCAGCCAGAUGAAGAGAAGGAAGAAGAAAAAAGAGAUGAAGAGAAGGAAGAAGAAAAGGAGAAAGAAGAUGAAGAAAAGCAUGACGACAAGGUAUGUUCACAUAACUUUGCCUUUUUUAUUUGUUUUUCAAAAUUUCAGACGUCGAUAUUUUUAUUUAAUCCGUCGUUUGUUUAAAACUUAGACGGCGGAAUUUUUUUAAGACGUAAUAAAAUAUUUAAACGACGGUUUUUUCACCGUCGUUUAAAUGGUUUCAAACGACGCUUUAUUCAUAAAACCGUCGUCUUUAUUAAAUUACCAUGACAAUUUUUUCACCGUCGUUUAAAUACUUUUAAAACGACGUUUUAUUCCUUAAACCGUCGUCUUUAUUGAAUUACCACGUCAUUUUUUUUAUUUCUUUAAACAGGUUAUUGAAGUUGGUGCUUAUUCAAAAAUGGAGGCGCCAUCUUCUUUAAAAACCCUUUGUCGUUUUGUGGAAACGACACUCCUGCCUGAGGAUAAGACAGUCCAAUUUACAAUUGAUAAGGAGGUGUUUGGUGGUGAGCGCGAUACCUUCCUCCUGCCUGAAGAUAUUACACAAUUUGCAGGCAUGGAAGAAAUUGGAGCUACUGUAUUGGCUGUAUAUAUGAGGUUUGUACUUCUAAAAUAAUAACUCGUUGGUUUAUAUAUUGCGUCGUCUUAACUAACUAACCACGUCGUCUUAACUAACAACCGUCGUGAUAAAUAUAUUAUAACGUCCUCAUCUAUUUCAGUACGUCGUUUGAAAUAUUAUAAUACGUCGUUUUUUUUAUACAUAACCGUCGUGUUUUGUGUGCUGACUUGUUUAUAUUAUUUUAUUUAUUUAGGUACUUACACGAUGUUUUGAAAAAAGCCAAUAUGUGCAGUAUGGUUGGCUUUAUCGACCCUGCUACAGUUAGUGCCAACUCUGGCACAAUAACUGAAAGAUCACGACUCGUAGCAGCUCGACUUCAGAAGACAGACGGUGAACAGAUUUUCAUGAUGCCUUACAAUCCAGGGUUAGUCUCCUUAGGAUUUUGUUUUUAUGAUUUUCAAUAAAUGACAGCUUAUAAACUAACCACGUCGGUGUUUUAUUUUAUUUAGUCGUUUGAAACUACUAACCACGUCGGUAUUUAUUUAUCGUCGUGAUAAAUAUAUAAUGUCGUCGUUAGCUACUUUACUUCGUCGUGUGAAAUACUAUAAUACGUCGUUUUUGUAAAUAACCGUCGUUUUUAUAUUAAUUUUGUGCAGCCGUCAUUGGAUUUUGCUGAUUGUAAGAGCAAAGAGAGAAACCGUCUAUUUUCUGGAUCCUCUGCCAGGAAAUCGUGUGGUCGAUGAAGAGGCCAAAAACAUCGUGAACAGUGCUUUAAAAAUAUAUAAUACCCACAUAGCCCGAGCAGGACGUAAAAAUGUAAUUUGGAAAACUCUCUCAGGCACACCAAAGCAACCCAGCAAUGUCGAAUGCGGGUAUUAUGUAAUGCGCUUCAUGAGGGACAUCAUCAUGGAUCCUUCCUUGGGGUUUGAGAAUAAGGUAAGAAGAAAUUACCUUCAUACAUUUCACGUCGUUUUUUGUAUUAUCAACGACGGUCGUGUAAAAUUAACGUCGUUGAAUGGAUAUACUACGUCGGUUAUGAAAAAUAUCGUCGUCUGUGAUUGAAUUUCUUUUUAUUUAUAAACCCUAAUAGUCAUUGUUUAUGCAGUAUGCCAAGGGAAACCAGGAAGCUUCAUACCCCCAAGAAGCCAUUGAUGAAGUCCGGAAUGAAUGGGCAGAGUUUGUUUUCCAAAUUAUUAAACAGGGCAAUUAUUGAACACUUGAUAUUUAUGUAUAAUGUACCAAUUUUCUCUAUAAUAUGUAAUGUAAAAAUUUGUUGAGGUUUUCUUAAAUUAAAAAAAAAACAAACAUACAAAUUGCUUAACCGACGUGUAAUACUUUUCCAACGACCUAAUAAAGUCACAAACCGUCGUAUUUUGUUGUUUCGUGUUUUAAACAAUUACGACGUAAAAAUAUAGUUAGACGACGUUCUUUGAACAAUUGAGUCGUUAAUGGUUUACAAUAUCUUCAAUUUCUUAAGGGUUCAGGGUAUAAUCGACGACGUUUAUGUAACGACUGCGGUUAAGUCGUAAAAUAUAUAUUUUACGUCGUAUAGUUAAAUAGCCGCCAUGGUUUCUCAUUUUAACGACGUCAUUUUAACGACUUAGUAGUCUAUUACAAUUUACAACGUCUACAAUUUAUUUAACACCGACGUGGUUUGUUGUAUGGUAAGAAUAUUUUAUUAUUUUUAUAUCAAAAUAUUCAAAAUAAAUAUAAAAUAAAUCAGAAAAUUGAAAAGUCAACUCAUUGAUAUAUUUUCUUCCACAUAAACCUUGAAAAAAUUCAUUUUGAAUAACAAAAAUUUAAAAUGACCAUCCAAAACAAAAUUGUUUUGAUGAGUCAUAAAAUCACUUCUAGUUUAAUGGUUUAGGGUUUAGAGUCUAGGGUUUAGAGAUUAGUGUUGUUAUUUAUUGGGGUUUAUUUUUAAAGUAUAAUUUUUGGGUAGUCUAUGUUAUAUGUUAGGCUUUAAAACCAUAAAACCUUUUAUAAACUUAAUUUUUUAAAUUGUAUAAUUUAAUUUUAUGGGUUUAGGGUAUUAAUUUUUAACGACGGUGGUUGGGUCGUGGAAUACAUAUUUUACGUCGUACAGUAAAACAUACGACAUGGUUUACGCUUUAAACGACGUUAUUUUAAUAUGUAAGUCGGUUUAUAUAAUUUACAACGUCUUUAAUUUCUUAACACCGACGUGGUUUUUCAGUCGUCGUUAUAUAAAAAAUUCAAAAUAAAUUUAAAAUUAAUCCGAAAAAUGAACGGCCUUACGUUCUUAAUCCGAAAAAUGAAGUUUCCGUCGUGGAAUAUUAAAUUUACGUCGGUACUUGUAGAACUUUCGCCUUGGUUUUUCUUUCGACGUUUUAUAACGCGCGCGCUCUAAAAAUUUUCGCGCGACCUAAAUUUUUUUAGAUUUGGCUCUUAGUCUUAUACUUUGAUCCCUGAAACCUAAAAUUUCAGAUUUCACGCGACAUAACAUUUCGCUCUCUCACUUCUGCUCUAAUUAAAAGUUGCACUCUCCAGGCUCGUCGAAUCUGUGAGCUCGUCCAACCUGUAAGUACAAACCCUAUCUUCCCCUUGUAAAUUCAUUGAAUGAUAUUAGGUUGUUUUGUUAAAGGGUUUUAGGUAUAUGCUUUGCGAUCUGUUAAUAAUGUGCUUAUAGGUAUGGGUUCAUGGAUUUUCUGUUUAAUGGGUUCAUGACAAGAUCAAAUAAAGGUGUACUUUUGCUGGAAAUCAACACAAAAAGUCUUUUAAUCACCCUAUGUUAUGUUGAAUUGGGAAUGGAUUUAUUGUUUUCAUGCUUGGUUUCAUGUAUCCGCUCUGGAGAAGUGCAAGUCAUAUAUAUGUUGUGUUCUUAAUGGGUUUUGUGUUCUUGAAAAUAAACUGAGACACGACGAAUUUUAAGGCGUACGACGACGAUUACACGACGGUGUUUUUAAACUACCGUCGUUGUAUUACUUAUACACGACGGUUUUUUCAUAAACCGUCGUUUGUAUUACGUAUAAUAGACGACGUCUGUUGAAAAUCCGUCGUCUAUAUAUGCCAAAUACGUCUGUUUUUGAUUAAAACCCGUCGUCUCUGUUGUUUAUUACUUGCGAUUAGAUCAUUGUAUAAUCUGCUAUAGUGAUGGUCAUUGCCUGUAUUUUCACUUUAUUAUAGAUAAUAGGUUAUAGUGUCGGAGAUGGAUAAGUCAUGGAUGCACUCGGAUAGAAGAUCGAAGGCAUAUGAGUUUGGGGUGGAAGCAUUUUUGAACUUUGCUGUAGAAAAUCUUCUAACUACAACACAUAUCCGUUGUCCAUGUGUUAAAUGUGUUAAUUUGAAGUUGUUUGGGGUUGGAAUUAUAAGGGAUCACUUAUACUUUAAUGGAAUUGACCAAAGCUAUAAGAAUUGGACAUUUCACGGAGAACCUUGGGAAGCAACUACUAAUGCUAGCAGAAAUGUUGAAGAAGAUGAUGGCCAUAGUAGGUACAGUUUUGUGUCUGAAGAAAUUGAUAUGGAUGAUAAUGAUUUUGGUGAUUUUGGUUCGGAUCCGUAUGAGUUUGCCAAUGUGAUUGGGGAUGGAGAUCAACCAGUGUACCCUGGUUGUAGAAAGUACACGAAGUUAUCGGCAUUAGUGAAGUUGUAUAAUUUGAAGGCAAAACAUGGGAUGAGUGAUGUCUGUUUUACAGAAUUAUUGAUACUUCAAGGCGAUUUGCUUCCAGAAGGAAAUACAAUACCAACCUCCAUGUAUGAGGCUAAAAAGACUUUGUGUGCAUUGGGGCUGAGUUAUGAGAAAAUGCACGCAUGCCCCAAUGAUUGCAUCUUGUAUAGGAAGGAGUAUGAGGAUUCAACUAAUUGUCCUACUUGUGGUAUCUCAAGGUGGAAGGAAGGCAAAGAUGCAAUCUUGAAAGAGGGUGUGCCAGCGAAGGUGGUGUGGUAUUUUCCCCCAAUUCCAAGGUUUAAAAGGAUGUUUCAAUCACAUGAGACAGCUAAGAGUUUGACUUGGUGGCAUGUUGCUAGAAAAUCAAUUGACGGUCAGAUGUCUCAUCCGGCGGAUUCCCCGUCUUGGAAACUUCUUGAUGAUAAAUGGCCUGAGUUUGGUAAUGAGCCGAGAAACUUGAGAUUGGCUCUUUCAUCUGAUGGAUUCAAUCCCCACAGUUCUCUAAGUAGCAGAUAUAGUUGUUGGCCGGUUAUCUUAGUUACAUAUAAUCUCCCUCCAUGGCUGUGCAUGAAACGAAAGUUCAUGAUGUUAACCUUAUUGAUUUCCGGUCCUAAACAACCCGGAAAUGAUAUAGACGUCUACUUGGAGCCUUUGAUUAAUGAUUUAAAAUCCUUGUGGGUUGGGAUUAGAGGAGUGUAUGAUGCACAUAAUGGAGAAUACUUUACACUCAGAGCUGCAUUAAUGUGGACAAUUAAUGAUUUCCCCGCCUAUGGAAACUUAUCUGGUUGUGUUGUUAAAGGAUAUAAAGCUUGUCCAAUAUGCGGCGAUGAUACACCUAGUCACAGGUUGAAAAAUGGCCACAAAAUUUGUUACAUUGGGCAUAGAAAAUGGUUACCAAUCAAUCAUCCAUAUAGGAGGCAACGUGCAGCUUUUAAUGGGAAACCUGAAUAUGGCAUACCUCCAGAGCCAUUAACCGGAGAAGAAGUGCUGCAUAUGGUUGAAAAUGGUGACAGAGUUUGUUGGAAGAAGAAAUCAAUAUUCUUUGAUCUCGAGUAUUGGAAAUACCUUCCUGUGAGGCAUGCCCUAGAUGUUAUGCACAUUAAGAAGAAUGUUUGCGAUAGUAUCAUUGGUACAUUGCUGGAGAUCCCUGGAAAAAAUAAAGAUGGGAUUGCUGCUCGAUUAGAUUUAUUGAACAUGGGGGUCAAAACUGAUUUGCAACCCGAGUAUGGAGAAAGACGUACUCGUUUGCCUCCUGGGCCUUGGAAUUUGUCAAGAGCAGAGAAGAGAGAGGUUUGCAAUUCUUUCUAUGGUAUGAAGGUCCCUGAAGGUUAUUCUUCAAAUAUUAAAAAUCUUGUAUCUGUACAAGAUUCAAGACUUCUUGGCCUUAAAUCACAUGAUUGUCAUACCUUAAUGCAACAAUUGCUCCCUGUGGCAAUUCGUUCUGUUUUGGAGAAGCCUGCAAGGUAUGCAAUAACUCGUUUGUGCUUCUUCUUCAAUGCUAUAUGUGCAAAGACUGUUGAUGUUUCCAAGCUAGAUAAGUUGGAAGAAGAUGUAGUAGUUACUCUGUGUUUGCUUGAGAAGUACUUUCCCCCUUCAUUCUUUGAUAUCAUGGUUCAUCUAGUAGUACAUCUUGUCAGAGAAGUUCGUCUAUGUGGGCCAGUAUAUUUUAGGUGGAUGUAUCCGUUUGAAAGAUAUAUGAAAGUGCUGAAGGGGUAUGUUCAGAAUCGUACUCGUCCCGAAGGUUGCAUUGCUGAGCGGUAUAUAGCUGAAGAAGCGGUAGAGUUUUGUACUCAGCAUUUAUCUGAUGUUAGUACAGUUGGAGUGCCUUCAAGCCAAAAGAUGGGAGUUUCAAAGCCAUUAUCAGGUUGCACAGUGAGCGUAGUUGAUCAGGACCUGUUGAAUCAAGCACAUCUAUAUGUCUUGGAGAAUACGGAGGAAGUCCUACCUUAUAUCGAGUACGUAUGAGUUUUAUUCUUUAAGUUUCCAUUUAAAAUUAUUUCUUAUGUUUAUCUUAUAUAUUUGGGACCGUAAUGCUUGAAUUUUUCGUGUCAUGUAGGCAACAUAUGAUCCACAUCAAGACUGCUUAUCCAAAAUUUAGAAAGAGAACAAAGUGGCUGCAGGAUAAGCACAAUAGCACUUUCAUUCAAUGGCUACGCUUCAAGGUAUAUGUUGUUGAAUAACGUAUUUCUCUUUUAAUUUUCUUCUUAUUUAUAUGUUAGAUUGAAUUAAGAUAUGAUUAAUUUGCAGGUUCAAAGUGAACUUGAGGAAGACAAUCAUGGCGUAUCAGAAAAUUUAAGGUGGCUAGCAGCUGGUCCAAACAUGUCAGUGCCAUUAUAUAGGAGCUAUCUUAUUAAAGGUAUUAAAUUCAAUAUCAAGGCACAAGAUGAUGUGCGGACAACUCAAAAUAGUGGAGUUUAUUUACUUGCACAUACCAUGCAAGUUGCUAGUGCCAAGGAUAAAAACCCAAUUCUCUCAAAUAUGGGUUUCUAUAGUGUCAUUCAAGAAAUUUGGGACCUUGACUACCAAAAGUUUACAAUCCCAGUCUUUAGGUGUGAUUGGAUAGAUAGUUCUGGUCUUGUAGUCGACGAACUUGGAUUUACCCUUGUAGAUUUGAGUAAAAUUGGACAUAGGAAUGACCAAUUUGUUUUGGCUUCUCAAGUCAAACAAAUAUUUUUUGUUGACGACCCGAUGCAUCGUGGUUGGUCGGUAGUGUUAUCAAUGCCUAGUAGAGAAUAUAAUGAUGUUAUUGGUGAUGAAGUAUUAGGUGAUGUGAUAAUUGAGUGUGAGCCAUUUACUAGAGGGAUGCCAAAUGUUGACACAUUUGAUGAACUGAUAGGUGAGUUAGGCGGUCAAAAUAUUCGAGAUGGGUGUGAAGAUAUAUGGAUUGAAUGAUGCUUAUGUAAUUGGCAGUGUAUGACAUUAAUUUUGUAAUAUAUUGUAAUGUGAUUUCUUCACUUUCUACGUUCAAAUAAAACACGACGUUAUUGUGAAUCAGUUAUUCAGCAUAUUUACCGACGUCUUAAAGCAACGUAACAAUGAAGAACCACGACGCUAUUGUGAAGCAAUUAUUCAGGAUAUCACGUCGGUGAAGGAUAAAGAACCGCCAUGUAAUUCAAAAUAACACGACUCCAAUCCCAUAAUACCGACGUCUAAAAAACGAGAUAUAUAAUCUGAACGUUAAAAAAUACGACGUCAUCAUACAUUUUCCACGUCGCAAGUUCUUUUAUAAACGAAGAGGAACGAAAUUAAUUCCGACGGAAAUUCAUUAUAACCGCCGUCUAAUAACAAUUAAACGACGUUAUUUGUAAUACGGCUCCCAUCAUAAUCUACGCCGUCUAUAUGUUCUGUAAUACGGCUCUCAUUUAUUUGGAACCGACGUUGUUUAGACGUUCAACGUCGUCUAUAUUAUUAAGUGCGUCGUGAGUAAUGAAUACAUAUAAAUACAACGUCGACUAUAUAAAUGUAUACGUCGUAAAUAAUGACACUGACAACUAUUUCCACGUCAUCUUUUUUAGAAAAAUCGAAGUGGAAAAUUUAUUUCACGACGGUUUUUUGUAAAUAAGAGACGUUGUAGAACUUUAGCAGACUAAACACGUCUGUUUUUAUUGUUUUCCGACGUUGUUGUAUUUAACAACGUCUAAUAUUUAUGGUCGUUGUUUGUUUCUGAAAAUAGGACGUAUAAAUUUUUUAAUACGACUCUCAUAUAUUUGUAACUGACGUUGUUUAGUUUUUCAACGUCUACUAUAGAAACACAUACGUCGUAAAUAAUGACACUGACAACUAUUUCCACGUCAUCUUUUAUCGAAAAAUCGAAGUGGAAAAUUAAUUGUACGACGGUUGUGUUUAUAUGUGCGACGUAGUAGGUAUCAAUAACGUCGUCUUCUAAUGUAUUUAAAGACGUCAUAUUUUUUAUUGUCGUGAAAAUUAUAUUUAACGUCGGCGUAUUUUUAUUGUCGUCAUUGUAUGUCUAUCUUGCGGCCUUGUUCUCUUAAUAUGUGUCAUAUUUUCCCUUUUUAACGACGGUCUUUUUAGAGAAUUGGUCGUCUAUUAUCAUCCUCGAUUGCUUUUUUUAGAUCUUUUUGCAGUACAAAGACGUCGUUUUGUAUUUUUUGAUGACGUUGUAUUGUUUAACAACGACGGUUAUUUAGCGUCGUGGUUUAUGAGGGAAAAGAUGACGGUGGAUUCCACGACCAUUGAAAAACCAAAUACACGACGGUGAUUUACCGUCGUCUUUUUGCUUUUUUGUAGUAGUGCAUGGUUACUAAUGGUAUAUGGCUCAUUAAGUGUGGUCCAAUACUUUACUCGAUCACCAAAUUCCUUAUAACAAAGUUCUGCGUAUGCUUUAAAAUCAUCACUGUACACAUUUAAAAAUAAAAUUUGUUAUAUAUAUAUUAGUAUUUAUAUAAUUAAGUUAUCAAUAUUAUACAAAGGAUAACUUUUGUUCACUUACACAAUACGAGGGCUUAACACACCACCAUAUUCUUCAUCCAAGGCUUGGGGAACAUCCCAGUGGAGGAGUGUCACUAGUGGUUCUAUACCUAUAUAUAGCAUGACCAGUAAACGAAAAAUAAAAUUUCGAUUAAAUACGUGCAUGUAUUUAUUAUAUAUUAGGAGGAUUUAUGAGAUUGAUAGCUGUAUCACCAUUCCGUAUGAGUUCAUUGGUGAGAUUAUUGUAGUAUUCAAUUCCUUUCUUGUUAAUUCCACCACUUAGUGUUCCAUCUAAUAAUUAAAACAAAACAAAGAAAAUAUGAGUCAAAACCUACUGAGAAAUAGAAAUUAAAUUGAAUAAAAGAUGUUAAAUUAUAAAGUGAUUGGUGGCAAUAAAAUAUGUGGAUGCGGAUGAACAACUUACUAGGUAACAAUCUAGACCAUGAGAUAGAGAACCUAUAAGCAUCCAACCCCAUAUCCUUCAUAAUUGCAACAUCUUCCUGUAAUGACACAAAAAAUAUACAUAAUUAUAAGAAAGAAGAUCAAAAUUAAGGAUCUCAUCUUCAGUGUCGUGCGUUCAAAUCAAAUUUAGAAGGUCUAUAUAAUAAAAUGAUGUUAUUUUGAAACCUUGUAUCGGUGAUAUUGAUCAAUUGCAACAUCUCCAUUACUGCCAUCGGUGAUUUUUUCUGCAAUUAACCAAAUGUAAUGUUAUUUAGAAAUAAACACACAAAUUAAUUUAACUAUCUAGAUAUUUAAAUAGGAGAAUGCUAGCCUUCACUCUAACCUUGUUUUUGGAACUUCUCACUUCUUUUCAUGCGAUGUAUUAUUCCUCUCGUAUUUUAAACAAUGUCUUUAAUAUAGUAAAAGCUUCAAUUUUAUUUUCCAUGAUUACCCUUAUUAAAUGGCAUAGACUUAUUCAAAUUUUUACAACUUUCUAACGAUCUUCUCUGGUCUAGUGGAGUUGUCUCCUCUUUGUUGGGUAAGGUCUUAGUUUCAACUCAAAAAAAAAAAAAAAAAAAAAAAGAAUUGUUAACUAAUUGAUUGUUUGAUUGAACAGACCUGGAUGGUUGUGGGUGAAGGCAUCCCAUACGCUUGGUCCUCUACCAUCUAUGUUUGCAGCACCUUCUAACUGAAAUGUACAUACAUAUAUAAGUUAUAUAACACGAUACACAUAGUGAAGAUGCCAAUAUUCAUGCUAGAUGAUCUGACUUUGAAAUCAAAUUAAACCUAUGUAACUAUAUGAAACACAAAAUUAAAACAAAUUAAAGAGUAACAUUAAUUAAGCCCUCAAAAGGCACUGACUUGGUAAGCUGAUGUAGCUGUGCCAAAUGUGAACCCUGGAACAAGAAUAUCGAAAUUGGUCCUGUUGAGAGUUGCACAAACAACGGGUGGAUCUGUCCUGGCAGCAUUGGUAUUUGGCAAUGCAAAGCCAAGGAGAAGCAGCAGCACACACAUGAGCAAAGAGCGGAAUUGCAAUUGCAUAACUGAGUGGAGGGUUUUUGGUGAUCGAGCUAGGUUGGCUCUUCCUGCUAUAUUGCAUAGGCUUUAUAUAGAGGGAGUACGUAACUUCUACAAGUGAAAAUAAUAAAUAAAUAAAGGUGUUUAUUUCCUUGUCCUUUCUAUUUUGUAAAGCUAAAGUAUGGGGAUAGACAGAGAAAAUUUUGGUCCUUCCGGCUUUAAAGCAUAUUGUGAGAAAUGUUCACUACAAGAAAAAUGUUGUACAACAACAUGUCAUUAACAACGUGCAUAGGUUGUGCGUUGUGGAGGGUGGGCUUUCACAACGUGCUGCAAUAGUGUGUUGUAGUACAUUGAGUUUAACAACGUGUAUUUACGGCACGUUGUUGCAAUGAAAUUUAGGGAUAUUUUUGACAACGCACUUUGGCGUGUUGUUGUAUAUUUAGUUCAACAACACGCAUCGCAUGUUGUCAAAACUAUAUCACUUUCCUAUAAUAAUUAAAAAAAGGCCAAAAAUUGAUUUUAAAAAAAGAGCCAAAUUUUUUGCGGGAAAACUCCCUCUUAUUCGACUAAAAAAAAGAAACUCCCUCUCUCUCAAAAUCUGAAAUGUUCUAAAUAUUUGACAAACCUCUACAUCUUCUAAAAACUCUCUCUCCAUCGUCACAACCCAAAAUUCCAUCAAAGACCCACGAAAUCUAAACUCAAACCAUCCCUCAAGCCUCCAUGGCAGAAGCUUGAAGCUCUCUCUCUCUCUCUCUCUCUCUCUCUCUCUCUCUCAUCAGUAACUUUUAGGGCUGGGCAUCUGAGGACCGCCCUCGCCGCCUACUCGAUGUCACACGCCACUGCACAGACGCAGACCAUUGGCUCGCUCUGAUUUGGAGUUGCUCAUCUUCGAUAUCUGCAAUCGGGUAAUUGAGUUCCCUUUUUGUCCUUGUUACUGAAGAUUAGGGAUUAAUUUUCAUUUAGGUUAUGUUUGAUUUGUAGCUUAUUUAUAUCUUCGAUUUGCUUUAUAUGAAUUCUUGUGUAUAACCUAAAUUGUAAAUUUUUACAAAGGCAUUAACAGAUAAAGGGUUUUGGAAUGGUACAAAUCUCCUGGGUUUAUUUAUUUAUUUAUUUUCUGUUCUUUGUAUUUUCUAAGUUUUUUUUUUUGUCUUGCCAUUUUGUUGAAUCUUGUGUGUUAUAUCACCUUCAGAGGAGAGAUUUAUAAAGUACUAUGAGAGUCUAACUGAAGAAGAGACAUGUAUGUGUACAUGUAUACUAUUUAUUUUUAGAAUCAGAGGAAGAUGGGAAAGUACUAUGAGUAUUGGGUUAUCUUUAUCACUUCUAAACACUCCAAACUGAGCUCAAUACAACUUGUCUAUCUAACUUUAGUUAAAGUUUUCUACCUGAAGAAUUAUACGUAUUGGGUUUUUAAGUUUUCUACCUGGUAUAAUAUUUAUUGUUACUGUAAUUAUACAUGCUUUUCUCAUGAGGUCCCAUUUUGGUGAUGGAUAGACAAGCGUGAGGAGAUGGAGGACUCAUGAGCUAGAGUUACAUCCCUACUUUGUACAUGGAGAUUUAUGGAAGUCUUUCAAGGACUGGAGUGCGUAUGGUGCAUGGGUCACAAAAUGGGAGUGACUCUGUUAUGUACUAUGUUCCUUAUUUGUCUGCUAUUCAGCUCUAUGUAGACCCAUCAAAGCUCUCCACAAGAAUAAGGUCAACAAUAUCGUAAACACAAGACUUUCAAUCAAUUCAGUCUAUGUGAUUUUUCUGCUUAAGCACUCUAGAUUAUAGUUUAUGUUUGCAGCUGCUAACUCUGGUGCAAUGUUCAUUCCUUAAUGUUUCUGUUCAUCCUUUAUUGUGUCUAGUUUAUGGGUUCACAUAAAUGUCAUUUUGUGGAGAAAAUCUUGAGAAAAUUUGAAUUUAGUGACUGAAGCAGAUGGAGCAUGCUGUGCAUUUUGGUGUGAUUAAUUUUUUCAUUAUCAUUGUUGGAUUCCUUGCACUUCUAUUGAGGUUGUUAUAUAAGAUCUCUUUGUUGAGUCACUCUCUGAGAUUUAGUUGCCUACUUACCCUGAUUACAUCUGUAUGUUACAAUGUCCUGAAAUCUUGAUUGUAUUUGUAUGUUAAAAUGUUCUGUUAAUGUCUUCAUUUACUCGCCCUUCAAUUGUAGCUUAAAAACUGUUUUACAAAAUCCACCAUUUCUUUGAAUGGAAUGGUCAAGGCGAUUGUGGAUACCACUUGGUUGGUUGGGUUACAAUUUGUUUUAAAUGUUGCUGAAUCUCAAUUUAUGGGGAAAUGGAGGUGAUAAUAGGCAGUGGGAAAGAUGUAUUUUGAAAUUAGGUUGUGCAGAAGAAUUAUGGUAGUGUAAUGGGGGUUGGUCCGUUUAUUAGGUGAGGCAUCUUAUAGGCAGUGGAUGACAAGAUCUUUAAUAUGAUGCAUGGUGCGGUACUUGUAUAUAGUGUUACUUUGUGGUAAAGUGAAUGUCUUACAGUUUUUGGCAUAAUCACCUUGACUUGGCAAAAUGUCGCCAAGAGUUGCAUGCUAAUAGCUAGUUUGUACUAGAAUAGAUAUGUGCAGUAAAAUCUCCGAAAAGAAUUAUAUAUAUUCAUAGCUUUUCAUGGAGAUACAUUAUAGGUUAUGCAAGUAUUUCUUUUGACAGUAGACUUCUUAGCAAUUGGAAUAAUUUGUUAUUAUUUAUUUUAUUAUUUUGGUUAUGUCUAUAUUUUUUAUUUGCUCAUAGCCUUCUGGAAUUUUUUACCAGAUAACGACAUGGGAGCAAAAUCACAAUCAAGUGAGUUUCCAUAGGAGCACCAUUCUUGCUUGGAUGCUCGGUUCUUGGAUCUCUUCAGGUGCUUCAAGACUUUGAAAUGUAACUAAUUAGUUUGCUAGACCAUGCUUAACAAAAUGUUAAAGUUUAAUUACUCUGAUAGUACAAUUUCCCUUCAUUUCUAUUUGGACAAAUGUAACUUGACAACGGAUUUGUUGAUCUUUCUAAUAUGUAUGGAGCUAUUUUUUUUCUUAAUGAAAACUCUCUAUUACGGGCUAUCUUAUGGUUGAAAAGGAAGAAAAUAGUUAUACUUGGAUAGAUUGUAUUGUUUUAAAGUAAUUCUAAAAGUAAUAUUAAAAGUAAUAAUAUUUAAUAUCACAACGUGCAAAGAGUAUUGUUGAAAUGUAAAACAACAACACGCGCAUGAACGUUGUCAAUCAAACAUACAACAACACGCAGAACACGUUGUUGUUCUAUACUUUCACAACAUGCACACGUUGCCAUUAUUGGUGUUUACAACACGCGAUCAAAUCAAGGACAACAUGCAAAGUGCGUCAUUGAAAGUCAUGGAGCUUUUAACGACAUCUGCUUCAACAACGUGCGCCGUGUGUUGUCAAUACGUUUUCACAACGCACAAUGUGCGUUGUUAAAUGACUUUUUUCUUGUAGUGGUUGGUGGGUUGUUUUGGUCCCGUGUCCGUGUCCAUUACAACAAAUUUCUCUCCCAUGGAAGCAAGGGCGUUAACCAGGAAUUUUUCAACGGGUGGGUUAGUUAAAGUUAUUAGCACUACUACAUUUUACACUUUGCGCGACGAAGCGAAUUUCGUCGCGCAAAAUAAAUUGUGGUCGUACAAAUUUCAGCGCCACAAAAACUUCGUCGCGCAAAGAUCGUGAAGAAAGACUUUGUGCGACGAAGUUUUUUCAUUGGUCGCGCAAAGAAAAAAAUAUUUGUCGCGCAAAGUGACUUUGCGCGACGAAAAAAUAUUGGUCGCGCAAAGUUUUGCGCGACGAAAUGCAUUGGUCGCGCAACGGUUUGCGCGACGAAAAACAUUGGUCGCGCAAAGUUUUGCGCGACGAAAAACAUUAAACGCGCAAAGUUUUGCGCGACGAAAUACAUUGGUUGCGCAACGGUUUGCGCGACGAAACACAUUGGUCGCGCAAAGUCUUAAAAAAAUUCCCGCGUCCAAUUUUUGGUACCCGCCCAAAUUUUUAGAGUUUUACGCGACAAAUAGUAACGUCGCGCAAAUAUUUGCGUGACGAAAUAUUUUUUGUUUUAAAUUUUUUUAAUUUGAAAUAAACUAAUUUAAUAGUUUGCGCUACGAAAUAUUUUUUCUUUAGUAUGAAUUUAUUUAUAUGAAUUUUUUCAAAUUUUUACUUUUUAAAUUUAAUUUAAUUGUAUGAUUUCUUUUUAAAAUUACUUUAAUUUAAAUUGAUAUUAAUUUUUUCAAAUUUUUACUUUUUAAAUUUAAUUUAAUUGUAAGAUUUUUCUUAAUUACUUUAAUUUAAAUUGACAUAUUCAAAAUAAAAUUACAUAUGAAAAAUAGUGAUCAAAUUAUCCAAUAAAUAUAUAUAUAUAUAAUAUUCAAAAUGUACAUAUAAAUUAACAAAGUACAAUAAUAAAAUCCUAAUACAAACGUAUUGUGGUGGUAGUGGCGGAGGAUAUGUUUUGAUAGCUUCCUAAUCCUCAACUUUAGCCGUCAAAGUCUCGAUGAUUCCCUACAAAAAAACAAAUAUAGUCAAAUAACAACAAUAACAACAAAAAGAAUGCACAAUCUCCCCUAAAAUUGUUAUACCACAAAUCCAACCCAAACUCCAAUCUCUCCCCUUUACUCAACCCCAAACCCCACACAAACUCAAAACUAACUCCAAAAACACAUAUUAAUGAAAAAAAUUUAAAAUUUGGAGAGAAUAUACCUUUUGGCAAGAUUGAGAGUGAGUGAGAAUGAGAGGGAGAAGUGAGUGUGAGAGAAUUAGAAAAGAUAGUGAUAGAGAGAUGAGAGAGUGAGAGAUAGUGAAAAGAUAGAUGAGAGAGUGAGUGAGAGUGAGAGAUAGUGAAGAUAGAGAUGAGAGAUUAAGUGAGAGGAGUUAGUGUGAGAGAAAGGGUGGGAUUUGGGGAAAGGGAAAGAGAGAGGAGAGGUAAGAGUAGAGAAAGAAAUUGAGAAAAUGGUGGAGGAGUUAUUUCAGUUUUAAAAAUCGUAUCACUUUGCGCGACGAAAAUAUUGUUGGUCGCGCAAAGUUUUGCGCGACGAAACAUAUUGGUCUCGCAAAGUUUUGCGCGACGAAUAGAGGAAUAUUGGUCGCGCAAAGUCUAAAAAAUUAUUUUAAAAAAAAAAAAAUUCCCGCAUCCCAUUUUUGGUACCCGCCAAAAUUUUUAAAUUUUUGCGCGACGAAAAAUACUUAUUGGUCGCGCAAAGUCUAAAACAAUUAUAUAUAAAAAAUUCCCGCGUCCCAUUUUUGGUACCCGCCCAAAUUUUUGCGCGACGAAAAAUAUAUAUUGGUUGCUCAAAGUUUUGCGCGACGAAACAUAUUGGUCUCGCAAACUUUUGCGCGACGAAUAUAGGAGUAUUGGUCGCGCAAAGUCUAAAAAAAAUAAUUUUUUUUUAAAAAAAUUCCCACAUCCCAUUUUUGGUACCCGCCAAAAUUUUUAAAUUUUUGCGCGACGAAAAAUACAUAUUGGUCGCGCAAAGUCUAAAACAAUUAUAUAAAAAAAUUCCCGCGUCCCAUUUUUGAUACCCGCCCAAAAUUUUUGCGCGACGAAAAAUAUAUAUUGGUCGCGCAAAGUUUUGAGCGACAAAAAAUUUUAAAAACCCGCGUCCCAUUUUUGGUACUCGCCCAAAUUUUUUGAGUUUUGCACGAUGAACUGUUGGUCGCGCAAACUUUUGAGAGACGAAAAAUUGGUUCGUAGCACAAUAUUUAUAAAAAUAAUUGUUAUGAAUAAUAAAAAAUAAAAAAAUUUAUUUUAUGAUUUAAAAUAUAAUUAAGGUGAAAGCUACUUAAUAAAUGUAUAUACUAUUCAAUUUCUGAAGUGUUAUACGUACAAAAUAAAUAAAUUUAAAGCUACUUAAUAAAUAUAUGUAUAUAAAUAUAUAUAUAUAUAUAUAUAUACACACACACCAUUCAACGAUCCAACUAUAAGACUUGUUUGUAUAUACUUCAAGAUCGUAUACCCCAAAAAUCGCAAAAAACAAACAUUCAGAGAUCUAGUAACGGGACAAAACUUUUCGAUAGUUAUAAAUGAAAAAUCACGAUUUAACGGUUAUUUUAACUCCGAUUUUGAUGAUUUUUUUACAGCUACACUCCUUGACCCUAUAUGAAUACAAUGACUGAAUUUGAUCUUCAAUUUAAAACAUUUGCACUAGUGGAUACCACAAAAUCUUAUGUUAUAUUUAACGAAAAUAUAAAUAAACUCUUAAUUGUUAGUGAAUAUAUUGUUUUGAUGGCAUAUGCAUUCUACGAAACUAGUUUCAACGAUCCAACCAUCAAACUUGUUUGUAUAUACUUCGAGAUCAUUUUAGCGUACACAUUCUACGAAACUAGUUUCAACGAUCCAACCGUCAAACUUGUUUGUUUAUACUUCGAGAUCAUAUAUGCCAAAAAUCGGAAAAAAUAAACAUUCAUUGAUCAAGUAACGGGACAAAAUUUUUUGACGGUUAUAAAUGAAAAAUCAUGAUUUAAUGGUUAUUUUAACUCCGAUUUUGAUGAUUUUUUAUAGCUACACUCCUUGACCCUAUAUGAAUACAAUGACUGAAUUUGAUCUUCAAUUUAAAAUAUUUACACUAGUGGAUACCACAAAAUCUUAUGUUAUACUUAACGAAAGUAUAAAUAAACUCCUAAUUGUUAGUGAAUAUAUUGUUAGUGAACAAAAAAAAACUAGUUUCAACGAUCCAACCGUCAAACUUGUUUGUUUAUACUUCGAGAUCAUAUACGCCAAAAAUCGGAAAAAAUAAACAUUCAGAGAUCAAGUAAGGGGACAAAACUUUUCGAUGGUUGUAAUGAAAAAUCACGAUUUAAUGGUUAUUUUAACUCCGAUUUUGAUGAUUUUUUUACUGCUACACUCCUUGACCCAAUAUGAAUACAAUGAACUAAUUCGAUCGUCAAUUUAAAAUAUAUAUUUUCUAACAAAAACCCAAUCCGAACAACAAUAAUAUAUUUUUCUAAUAAAAAUCCGAUCCGAUCUAAAAUAAUAAAUUUAAAGCUACUUAAUAAAUAUAUAUACCGUUUAAUUUCUUAAGUGUUAUGCAUACAAAAUAAAAAAUAAAAAUAAAUUGGUUUAGGUGACAAAAUGUUUGGAUUACGUCAUGCAAAGAUUUUAAAAAAUAAUUUUUUUAUUUUAUUUAUUUUUGUAAGGACUUUGUGCGACGAAGUUUCUUUUCGUCGCGCAAAGUCACUUUGAGCGACGAAUUAUUUUUCGUCGCGCAAAAUUGGUCGCGCAAGACUUUGAGCGACGAUGUAUUGUCGUCGCGCAAAAGUUUGUCGCGCGAAGUGACUUUGCGCGACGAAUUAUUUUUCGUCGCGCAAAAUUUGGUCACGCAAGACUUUGGGCGACGAAGUUUCAAGUUUCGUCGCGCAAAGUGACUUUGAGCGACGAAUAAUUUUUCGUCGCGCAAAAUUUGGUCGCGCAAGGGGUUUUUUUUACUAGUGUAGCUUAAAAUUUAAUGAUUAUUUUUUUUGGUACUUACAAUUUCUAGUCUUUCUAGAAAUAAAAAUAAACAAUAAAUCAUAUAAACCAAGCUAGUUCAUAGCUCCAUAGACUAAUUUUCAAGAAAUUUUAACAUAAACCAAAUAGGGUUUAACUCUAUAGUGGAUUGAACAUCUAAGGCAUUUUACCUAGAUUGACCUUAGGUUCCUUCAUGCAUUCAUAUCAUAUAUGAAAAGUUGUUUUAUGUAAAAAUAUUGACUAAGUAUGAAAAAUGGGUUUUCGGAAUAAUCAUUUCCUCAAAAUAAUUUUUGGCAGCUUUUAUUCCUCACACAUCAAAUAAAAAAACUUGAUUUUAUGAGAUUUUAGUAUGAAGUACAUAUUGACUUAAUGAGCCAUCAUUUUUAGCAUAAAUCGUAUUUUGCACUAAAACCGAUUUUUCAUAUUUUGAUUUGGUGGGAAUUUGAUUUUCUAGUAUUUUUAUUUGAAUCCAAAUGAGAGGUAUUUCCUUAUUUACAUUAUAAACUUAAGUAAAUGGAGUAAUAUAAAAAUAAAUAAAGUAAAAUGACAAAGACAUUUACUUAAAUGUUGAAAAUAGAAAUAAGGUAAUCUGUAUAGCGUCACUGACUAGACUAAUAUUGAAAAUAAGUUAAAUAUAUACUUUUUUCUUAAAAUACCACACUGGGCUACAGUUUAGUGUGGUUCCACCCUUGCAUGGAAGCUCUUGCUCAUCUUUACGGGCGAACUCUAGGUCAUUGGUUCCUUAGAAAGUAUCUAUCUCUCAUCGUUAAUUGAUCUUCGAUGCAAAAUAGAUUUAAGAUUGUUGAGAGUGUGAAUUUCACUCAUUGCUAAUCAAUUUUGAGUUGGAUACUCAUAUUCAAAUAGAGUAUCAUAAAGUAUUAUAAUCAAGAACCGUGCUAAAAUGACUAAAUUAAACGGCUUGCAAUUUAUUUUCAAGAGCUGUUCAUCACCAAACUUAUCAACAACAAUGAAGAAAACUACAGACAGUGCUUGUUUUUCUGCACUACUGUGAGAAAUUUGAAACUUCUGUGAAUCAGCGAUGCUUAGUUAGGAAUCAAUGAUUUGAAGUGUUGACUGAAUGCAUGCAAUUGACUUCUGCUAACUAAUUUGUAGAUCGCCUCCUUUGUGCAAUCUCCACCAGUUACAAAUAACCUAACCAUGAGCAGGGAUUUCCAUGAGAGAGCUAAAUAUUUUUUGACAAAGAGAAACAUAUAAAGCAUGGGCAUUACAUUUAGAUUGAAAUUUACACUGUUAAAUUAUUAUUUUUCUCUCAUAAGAAAUAUGACAGGCAAAGGCUGACCAUGAGUUACAUUCUUUAACCAAUGCCAUAGUCAUAGGAGGUACGUGAGGUUACACCAUGACUAUCCUCUCCUUGAAUCUCUAGUUGAUUUAUGCUCUGUACAUCACACCUCAUUUAAAUUCAAUUUGAGAGCUUCAGAGUUCACAGACCGCAAUUUAAAUAGUAAAAAAAUGACUAACACUUUGCUUCACAAUUCCAACGUGAAAAAGGACAUUGACUUGUAAUGGUCUCAGGUAUGAACUUAAAUGGUACUUUGGCAGUAUAUGUGAGAAAACUCCCCUUUUUCAAUAUCGCUUGUAUAAAAAAAAUUAUUAAAAAUUAUUAAUAUUCUUCUAAGUGUGAGGAAAUCAGCAAUCAUCUUUGUAAAUUAACACAAGUACGCAAUAGUCUAAGAAAGAUUGUGGACUAAAAGGACAAGUUAGCAUCUCCAAAGGAGAUGUCAAAUACCAAACAUCAAAUUUAAAUUUGAUGGCUGAUGUGGCAAUUUGACAUCUUACACAGCUUUACACUCCACCCGAUAUGUCAAAUUAAAUUAUUAUUUUAUUAAAUUUUAGUGUUGAUUUAUUUUUAAUUAAAAAGAAAAGAAAAGAAAUAAUAAUAAUAAAAUAUGCAUUUGACAUCUUGCUUUUGGAAUAUCAAAAAUAACAUCUCAACUUCCAGCCUUCAUUCCACAUCAACUUUGACACAUCGAUUGGAGUGAUAUGAGAUGUUAUUUCUAGCCGUUAAAUGUCUAUAUGUCACUUUUGACAUUAAGGGCUUGUUUGAUAGGAAGGACUGAACUAAACUAGACUAGAAAAAUGCAUACAUUUUCUGUGCAUUCAAGGCAUAAUAUGGAUAUUGUUGUCUAACUUGGAGUAUGAAGGAGGACUAUUUAUAAGAAGUUGAUGACUAAAACUUAUCCCUCAUAAUCCCACCAUUUUCAAGGGGAGGCUAAGUUUAAGUCAUCAACCUCUAAAUUUACUAAAAAUGCUAUGUCAGGUCUAGUACAUUGUGCUAAGUAUAUUAAAGCACCUAUUGCACUAAGAUAUGGUACUUCUGGACCAAGGACCAUUUUAUCAUCUAUGUAUCCUCUUGUGAUCUAAGCAAUACAAGCUGCAUUGUCCUCAUUUAGGAUUAUUGGAGUGUCCGUUGCUGAGGAUAGGGCACAUGUGCUUCGGAUGUGCUGGAUCACUUAUCUCAACCAAACGCAUCUAUGACUGGCUUUAUGGAGGGCAAGUAUUUCUAAGUGAUUGGAAGAUGUGGCCACCAAUGUUUGUUUUGUUGCGCGCUAUGAGAUUGCAGUUCCUCCACAUGUGCAUACAUACCCAGUUUGUGAGUGCCUUUGAUGUGGGUCAAAGAGAUAUCUUACAUCAGCAUAUCCAACCAUACUCGGGGCAUUGGUAGAUUCACUAGAAUAGAAUAAGCCCAUGUCUGUUGUCCCACGAAGGUAUCGUAGGAUAUGUUUGACGCCGGUCCAAUGUCGGCUUGUUAGAGCAAGGUUGUAUCUUCCUAACAAAUUUACUAAAAAUGCUAUGUCAGGUCUGGUACAUUGUGCUAAGUAUAUUAAAGCACCUAUUGCACUAAGAUAUGGUACUUCUGGAUCAAGGACCAUUUUAUCAUCUUUUUUGGACGAUAUGGAUCUUUCUUAGUGUCGAGCGAUCGAACGACUAUUGGAGUGCUAAGUGGAUAGGCUUUAUCCUUGCUAAACUGCUUUAAUACUUUUUCAGUAUAAGUUGAUUGAUACACUAAAAUCCCAUUAGCACUAUGCUCAAUCUGUAAGCCAAAGCAAUAUUUUGUCUUUCCAAGGUCUUUCAUCUCAAACUCGCGUUUGAGAUAAUCAACAGUCCUUUGGAGCUCGUCAUGAGUUCCAAUUAGAUUCAUGUCGUCGACAUAUACUGCCACUAUCGCAAAUCUGGACUUUGAUUUCCUAAUGAACACACAUGGGCAAAUAGGAUCAUUUGUGAGUCCUUCCUUCAGUAAAUACUUACUGAAACGAUUGUACCACAUUCGCCCAGAUUGUUUUAGUCCAUAUAAUGAUCUUCUCAAUUUAAUUGAGAACAUGCUCCGUGGGUUAUUCCUAGCUGCUUCAGGUAGCUUAAGUCCUUCUGGGACUUUCACGUAUAUAUCUGUAUCCAAUUCUCUAUACAAAUAUGUGGUAAUGACAUCCAUAAGUCUCAUUUAAAGUUUUUGUGAAACUGCCAAACUUAUUAAGUAACGGAACAUAAUUGCAUCCAUUACUGGAAAAUAUGUUUCUGUAUAAUCAAUUCCAGGCCUUUGUGAAAAACCUUCCGCAACAAGUCGCACUUUAUACCUUGUGAUCUCAUUUUUCUCAUUGCGCUUUCUUGUAAAUACCCACUUGUAACCUACAAGGUUCACAUUGGGUGGAGUUGGAACAAUAGGUCCAAAGACACUCUUUUUUUUUUUUUUUUCCAAAGAAUUCAAUUAUGCCUGGAUUGCAUCUUUCCACUUAGGCCAAUCUUGUCUCUGUGUGCAUUCAUCAAUGGAGCAAGGCUCAAUAUCAUCAUUUUUUACGAUCUCAGUAGCCACUGAGAAUGCAAAUAUAUCAUCAAUGAUCAUCUCGUUUCUAUUCCACAAUUCAUCAGUGGACGUAUAAUUUAUGGAGAUUUCUUGACUUUCAGGUACAGUUGCCACUCCAGGGGCACUUGUCUCACCAAGGACAUUUUCCUUUUCAAGAAGUACCUGUCCCUCUUGGGGGCCAUUUGAAUUAUGAAUUGUGGGCUCUCCAUUUAUUUCAUUUGGAUUCAUUUUGGCCAUCAACUUCCUCUUUCGGGGAACUGAAUCCUUUGUGCCUAGUGGUUUGCCACGCUUCAGGCGUGCAACAGAUGAACCAUUUGCUAGCAGAUUACUUUGUCCAUUAUGGACAUCAAUCUUUGCAUGUGCAUUUGCAACUGGGAUAUGUGAUUUCAUCACCUUUGUUGCAUCAUUAAAUGCAUCUGGCAUCUGAUUUACAAUACUUUGGAGGUGAACGAUCCUUCUCACUUCGGUUUUGCAUUGGGUGGUACGAGGAUCGAGACGAGACAAAGUGGGUACAUCCUAUAAUAAUUCACGUCAUUCUUCAGGAAUGAGUUUGCCUUGUUGUUCUUUAGGAACAGAUUUUUCUCCCCCCUAAUGAUGGGAAGAUUGUCUUAUCAAAAUGACAAUUCAUAAAUCGGGCAGUAAAGAUAUCACCUGUCAGAGGCUCCAGAUAUCUGAUGAUAGAUGGUGAAUCAAAACCAACAUGAAUCCUUUUCCAAUACCAUAAUUUCUCCUUUUGACUACCAUACUCAACACCAUCAUUUCUCUUUAUGUGGGCUCCACCUAUAUUAUUUACAACAUUUUUCUUCAUUUUUUAGGUCAUAUUAUUUUAUUGUAAAGUAUUUAAUUAUUUUUAAUAUAUGAAAUGACCAAUUUGCCCUCAUAUUUAACGGCAAAUUGGAUGAAAUGUUGAUGAUUUAGACGGUAAGGGGAACAUUGAGAAUAAAAGUUAGUUCGAGUCCUUAAUUUUCUAAAAAAAAGGUUAGUGGUAAAUUCAUAAUUAAGUACAAGUUCAGGGGGCAAUUUGAUGAAAUACCCUUUUUUUAAUUACAACAAAAGGGAAGGCAUAAAUGAAGUGGGUGGGCCCAGUGGCAAAUAUUUCGGUCAUAGCUCAACAUUCAUUUAUUGUAAUUUUUUAUUUUUUAUUCAUAAUUUAGCCAUAAAAGGCCACUGACCACAAGGACAAAUAUAAACACAUGAGAGAUACAUCAAGAACAUCAAGACAAUAAGGUAUCCCUCCAACCACAUCCACAAACAAGCAAAGCACCUCCACUGCAUAAAGCCAACAAACUUGGAUAAACCAAGCACAUCAACAACAUAAAGUAAAAUUAAACCAAACUCUUACUAGAGAGACAACUAACUCAUAAUGAGUUUUUGCAACUUAUUCCGACUCAGAAAGAGCCAAACAUAAAGUUAUAACAUCACAAACAACUAGCACAACGACAAUGGAGGAGCCACUGUACUUUAUCCAUCCUUUGGGAUUCAAAUUUGAUACACAAAUUUGUGAGCCGUAGCAUUAUUGUUCCCACGUCUUCGAAUUUUUUCCUUACUAAUUGAGGAUCCCUUGAGAAAACUUUUGAACCAGUGCGUUGAGACUUUUGAGUGUCUUUUCAGUCCAUUGUCGUAAUCAACAUAGUUGAUACCAAACCGAACAGUGUAUCCUUCGCUCCAUUCAAAGUUGUCUAGCAAUGACCAUGCAAAAUAUCCUUGUACAUUAGCACCCUCUCUGCAAACACCAAAAAAAAGGAACAUAAUCUAGUCAAUGUAGUGAUUAAAUAACCAAAAUGUAAGAAGGCUAGACGAUACAUAUAUAGCCUAAAUUUAUUUGUUGACAAAAACUUACAAAAUUGCUUCUUGGAGGUAACAUAGGUGGCGAUAGUAGUAGAGAAUUCUAUUGCUAUCAUCAAGGGCUCGCUCAAGGGAUACUUUGGGAUUAUUGAACUCGUCCAUGCCUGCAAUAUAAUGCAGUAUCAUAUACAUUUAGUACUGAAUUUUACACCAUUAUACAUAUGUAUGAAACAUUAUUGAUAAUGCAAUAAAUUAAUGUUUAAAGGUAUUAAUUACCAUUCUCAGUAAUGUACAUAAUUGGAUUAUUGUACUUCUUUUUUGUGUAGAGUACAAGAUCGUAAAGUCCUUUUGGGUAAACAUAUAACCAGUUUGAAGCAGCCUGCAAUCCCAUUUAAAGAUUAGCGAUACUUUAAAGAGUUAUAUAUGUAUGUGGAAAACAAAAUAUAUGUAUAGGUAUUAAUUGUCAAAAUGCCAAUAACUGAAGCAAAUAAUUUGAUGUGUACCUGUGGACCAAUGGGGACCCCAUUAAGCUCAGCUGCCACAACAUAUAUAUAUAUAUGAAUAUGAAUAUUAGUAUCACCAAUAUAUGAAUAGUAGUAUUUGAAGAACUUAAUUAAUUACUUGAAGUUUUCAAUUUGUACUCACUUGUAAUAUUAACAUAAGCAUCUGUGAGGUAGCUUGGAGUCGUAGUAAUAGAAUAAUUCUCAGGGUAAGCGCUUGCAUAUCUAGCAGAAUAGUAGUUGACUCCAAUAUAAUCAUAUGAGCCAAUAAGUGACUUGGAUUGUUCUUCGGUGAAAUUUGGUAAUCUUUCUUUAACAAGAUAUCGCAUGCUCUGCGGAUAGUCACCUCUUGUCAAUGGGUCCAUAAACCUAUGAAAAUAAGCCAAUUCCAAGCGUGAACUUAAAGUAUUAUAUAAAGUACUACUAGCUAGCUUGCCAAUGUUAUAAUGCAUAAAUAAAGCAUUUAAAUGCGAUGAUUUAUAAAAUAAUAUAAUAUACUUACCAUCCAUACAUAAAAUCCAAAGCUCGAACUGAAGCAUUUAUAUCUUUUUGUGACUCCGAAGCGGGCUCGUACCAAUGUGAUACAACUGUUAUUCCUAUCACUCCUUCUUGAGAUGCCUGCUCAAGAAAGAUCAUUUUUUUAAAAAUAGAUUUAGAGGAAAAAAAAAAAUAUUACAACCAUUGUUUAUCUGAAUAUAUAAAGUAUUCCCACUUAUGUUGUUACUCAAUACUAGUUAUUCGUAGGACACCAAUAUUCAAACCAAAAGAAAAAAAUUAGCCCUGUUUCAUAUCCUACUAAAAAAAACUAAAUUCAAACACUAUGAUUCUUUUUAAAAAUAUGAGUUUUCAAAUAGUGAUUUUAAGAUCUAAAAUCUUGUUUGGUAUUGAACUCCAAACUAUUUUUUAGAUCUAAAAAAAUUGAAAUUAAAAUCAGAAAAUUAAGAACCCUAGAUUGCCAAAUUGAAAUUAACAAAGAAAAGUUGAGAGAGGGAAAGAGACGGGAGAGUGAGGAGAGAUAGGGACGAGAGAGGAAGAAGAGAAAAAGAGACGGGAGAGGGCGGAGACAGAGAGAGAGAGAGAGAAAAAUAUAAAACCUUAUUUUUUUUGUUUUUAAUAAUGGGGGUGUUUUUGAGUUUUUCUCAGGUUUGAGUUUUUAAAAAUGGUCUUACCAAACGGAUUUUUGUGGCUUUGAACUUAAAAUAUGUUCUUGAGUUUAUAAAAUUGGAUCCAAGUAGGAUACCAAACAAGUCCUAAAGUACCUGAUAUUUUUCUCUGUACAAUUUUACAGCAGCUGCAUGAGCAAGGAGUAGGUUGUGUGUCACCAAAUAUGGUUCAGUACUCGAAUUUCCACCAAGGCAGGUUGGGUCAUACCAAGAAGAGCAUCGUCCUGGUGCGUGGAUCCCGAUUGUAUAACCAUGGUUACUAAUGGUAUAUGGCUCAUUAAGUGUGGUCCAAUACUUUACUCGAUCACCAAAUUCCUUAUAACAAAGUUCUGCGUAUGCUUUAAAA
rnacentral:lncRNA from 1 species